rnacentral:lncRNA from 1 species
UGUUCAUAAAACUUGCACUCAAUCUUGCUAACCAAACCUCAUACACACACGUUUUUCACUCACCAACCAUUCAACUCCCUCCCCUCCCCAAAUGCAAGAAGUUGCAUUGAACACAUGAUUCUUCUUGGAAGUCACAAACACCGUUCCACUUGCUUCCCCAAUUUCUGGGUCGCCUUUUUCUUCUCUCUUCUCAGAAUGCCUCUCUCAGGUCAGGCCUUAAAGAGAAGCAAAU